UACGGAGGGGGCUAGCGUUGUCCGGAUUUACUGGGCGUAAAGCGUGCGCAGGCGGUUUUGUAAGUCUGUCGUGAAAGCCCCGGGCUCAACCUGGGAAUUGCGAUGGAGACUGCAAGGCUUGAAUCUGGCAGAGGGGGGUAGAAUUCCACGUGUAGCAGUGAAAUGCGUAGAGAUGUGGAGGAACACCGAUGGCGAAGGCAGCCCCCUGGGUCAAGAUUGACGCUCAUGCACGAAAGCGUGGGGAGCAAACAGG
rnacentral:rRNA from 1 species